GGCCUCGUGGCGCAACUGAAUAGCGCAUCAGAUUUCGGCUCUGAGGGUUGGGGGUUUGAAUCCCUCCGGGGUCACUA
rnacentral:tRNA from 3 species